rnacentral:rRNA from 1 species
UGGGGGAUAUUGCACAAUGGGCGAAAGCCUGAUGCAGCGACGCCGCGUGGGGGAUGAAGGCUUUCGGGUUGUAAACCUCUUUCGCUAUCGAACAAGGCCCGCUUAGGGUGGGUUGAGGGUAGGUGGAGAAGAAGCGCCGGCUAACUACGUGCCAGCAGCCGCGGUAAUACGUAGGGCGCGAGCGUUGUCCGGAAUUAUUGGGCGUAAAGGGCUUGUAGGCGGCUUGUUGCGCCUGCUGUGAAAACGCGGGGCUUAACUUCGCGCGUGCAGUGGGUAACGGCAGGCUUGAGUGUGGUAGGGGUGACUGGAAUUCCAGGUGUAGCGGUGGAAUGCGCAGAUAUCCGGAGGAACACCGAUGGCGAAGGCAGGUCACUGGGCCAUUACUGACGCUGAGGAGCGAAAGCAUGGGUAGCGAACAGG